AAAUUGAAGAGUUUGAUCAUGGCUCAGAUUGAAUGCUGGCGGCAGGCCUAACACAUGCAAGUCGAACGGUAACA
rnacentral:rRNA from 1 species